rnacentral:Y_RNA from 1 species
GGCUGGUCCGACGGUAGUGGGUUAUCAGAACUUAUUAAUAUUAGUGUCACUAAAGUUGGUAUUCAACCCCCCACUGCUAAAUUUGACUGGCUUUAA